rnacentral:rRNA from 1 species
AUGGAACGUAUGCCCUGUUGCAGCCUCGCAGGUCAUUAUCAUCUCAUCUCACCACACUCAUGCCACAUAACCUGCUGCAGCCGCGCGCUGUAUGUGGCGGGGGGUUACGGUUACUUCUGUGCAGUAAUACCAUUUUGGAGUGUCCCGUGUUUGCAACUAUCCUUAUGUGCAGCCCCUGCAACAAGGCAUCAGAGAAAAUUAAAGGGACAAACAAAUUUUGCGUCUGAUGUGUUGUUCAGACGUUCAGGAGAAGUGGAGAAGAGGGUUCCUCGAGGCUCCAUCCAUGAAUGGUGUGGGUCCAAUGCCUUAGGGUGGCAUGCGGUAAUGUUGGGGACCAGCGAGGAAGAUGGCUGGUAUACAUUCUUUGAAAUAAAGCUGAAUUCUUUCCAACAAUCAGUGGCACAAAGAGAUGAUUUAUAUGUCAUCCUGCAUUCUUUAACGAUUCCGGACAUAGGAACGAUGAGCUGUAUCCACGGCUCCUCUUCCAAACCAAUAUCGCAAUGGAUCUAUCUUCAGCGCUUUUAUUCAAUUUCCGAGGCACUCCCCUUUGUUCAGGGUGAGGAACCUAGGAAGCAGGCCAGCGCUGUAGCAUACAUCAAAUGCAGCUUGGAGACACAUCAGAAUGCCAUGGUUGUCUUCGGCACUGCCUUCAAAGGGGUCCUUCAGCCUCCAAGGAGAAGGGAACUGAUGGCUGCCAGGGAAACUAGGUGA